CCCCUGUGCACAUGCGAUCCGGCGACGGCGAGACCCUGUGCGCCGCCACCCGCUCCGGCGUGUGGUGGAGUAGCGGUGCUGGGAGGCUACGGGAUCUUAACAUCUUUAACCCUGGUGGCAAAUCCUGUGGCCUGCGCUUUAGAGGCUGGUUGGCUGAAGAAGAAUGGGGUCAACUAUUUCGAAGGAUGCAUGGAUGGAAGUUAUGAAGACGUAUGGAAGAGUUUCAAGUCUUGCAGUGUGAACUAUUGCACCAAGCUCAGUCGUCCUCGUCAAGUUCCAAUCCUUGGAUUAUCAGGAAAAAAAAAGAGAGUUCCAACCCUUGACUUGCCGAUUGAGUUGUAAUCGGAUCUCCAUGGUGAGUUGUGUAGGUUUUGGCUUGCUAUUUUUGGCAAGUUUGGCAAGCGUGAUGACCGGUCCGGUUCCAUUCUGGUCGAUUGUGUAGCUUGGAAUUCUGCAUCUUCUUCUUCUUGUGUCCAAUCGGACUACUACUGCACCAGGCUCUUCCGUUAAAGUUGGAGACCUGACCAGGAAUGCUGGGCACUUGACUAGCCUGUGAUCGGUUUAUUGCGGUCGUAUGUGAAAGAACAAUGCCAAUUGCCAAUGCCAAUCGUGUAAACCGUCAGGAACUGCAUUAUGAAGUCGAGUAUGAGAAAAUGCCAGGAAGGAAUCAGCAAAGCGGCAAUAUUGCCAUUGAGAUGGAGGUUUCUUUAGGUCAGCAUCUCGUAUCUGAGGUUUUGUUCUGAAUGAACUAUGACAGUUAAAUUACUGCCUGUUUCUGCUCUCUUUUACAUUUCAGACUGUUGGAUUUGCUCGUUUCAGCUUUGAGUGCCACAACACCAGGAUGCAGUUUCAGCUUUCAGAA